rnacentral:lncRNA from 1 species
CUUUGGGAAACUAUUGUGCUCACAUCUCCAAGGCAUGCAUAUCAUGCAUGUGAGAUGAGUCCCGCAGUUCCAUGUGUAUUUAAUACCAUGUCUUGGCAUCGUCUCCAGCAGCGAUAAGAACACAUGUUGGGUCUCAGAGCCUUGCACAAGUUGCAUACUAGAAGCAAAUUACCAGUGAGAUGUUAGAAGAUAACUGAGUUAUUAAGACUAGUGCUAAUACGCUCCAGAAGAAGAUGAUUUAGUUAUUGAUUUUGGAUGGUUAAAAGUUUUACGGCAAAGAUCAAACAAAUCCAUACUCUUGUUCCGUCCAUAAGUGAACUAUAUAUCCAUGUGUGGUCAGGUGAGCAACUCUGCUUCUGGAUGGUACAGGCUCAACUAGAGCGAGAGGGCAGAGGACCUUCUCCCUAGCCGGAGACAAAUGGCGUCAUGGCAUUCUUUGGUCUUUUGGAGCUGACAAAGCGUGGUUUUCCUCCGGUGAUAGGCCACUUUCAUAGACAAUGCCUCCUCUUUGCCUUGGUAGUUUGAUCGCGGGUUCGAUGAAGGCAUCAAUGUUCAAGCUCAUGCACAGAAGAGUAGAAAAGUCAAAUGGAGGUGCUUGCAAUUGUUAGAUCAUUUAGACAUGUUAACAAUCACAUUACUGAGUUACUGAUACAAAACAUUUUCCUUGAAUUACUCAUCCAUACUGGUUCUAAAUUGCACGGUAAUUUGCUUGUCAUUGCAAAAAUGAAACUGUUUUCACUUAAAAUAAAUACAAUCCCAUAAUCCUUGGUUGAACCAGUUUCUAAUCUGAAAGNNNNNNNNNNNNNNNNNNNNNNNNNNNNNNNNNNNNNNNNNNNNNNNNNNNNNNNNNNNNNNNNNNNNNNNNNNNNNNNNNNNNNNNNNNNNNNNNNNNNGACGUCACGAGGGUUUCCUGAAUGGUCCGGAAACGAAGAUUGAUAUAUAGGAUGACCUCAUUUGAUUAGCGGAAGGUUUUCGGAGUUACCGGGAAUGAUGAAUGGGUUCCGGGUGUUCACCGGGGGGGCAACCCACCCCGGGGAAGCCCAUAGGCCUUAAGGGUGGCGCACCCGCCCUUAGUGGGCUGGUGGGACAGCCCAAAAGGGGCCCUAUGCGCAUUGGAAGAAAAAAAAAGAGAAAGAAAAAAAAGAGGAGGUGGGAAGGGAAGGAAGGACUCCCACCCACCAAACCAAGUCCAACUCGGUUUGGGGGGGGAGACCUUCCCCCCUUGGCUCGGCCGACCGCCUUGAGCCCCAAGGCAAGGUCCCCUCCCUCCCACCUAUAUAUACGGAGGUUUUAGGGCUGAUUUGAGAUGACUUUUCCACGGCAGCCCGACCACAUACCUCCACGGUUUUUCCUCUAGAUCGCGUUUCUACGGAGCUCGGGCGGAGCCCUGCUGAGACGAGAUCAUCACCAACCUCCGGAGCGCCGUCACGCUGUCGGAGAACUCUUCUACCUCUCUGUCUCUCUUGCUGGAUCANNNNNNNNNNNNNNNNNNNNNNNNNNNNNNNNNNNNNNNNNNNNNNNNNNNNNNNNNNNNNNNNNNNNNNNNNNNNNNNNNNNNNNNNNNNNNNNNNNNNAAUGUUGUUCGGAGUCCCGGAUGAGAUCACGGACGUCACGAGGGUUUUUGUAAUGGUCCGGAAACGAAGAUUGAUAUAUAGGAUGACCUCAUUUGAUUACCGGAAGGUUUUCGGAGUUACCGGGAAUGUACCGGGAAUGACGAAUGGGUUCCGGAUGUUCACGGGGGGGGGGGGGGAGGGGAACCCACCCCGGGUAAGCCCAUAGGCCUUAAGGGUGGCGCACCAGCCCUUAGUGGGCUGGUGGAACAGCCCAAAAGGGUCCCUAUGCGCAUUGGAAGAAAAAUCAAAGAGAAAGAAAAAAAAAGAGAGGAGGUGGGAAGGGAAGGAAGGACUCCCACCCACCAAACCAAGUCCAACUCGGUUUGGGGGGGCGAGACCUUCCCCCCUUGGCUCGGCCGACCACCUUGGGGCUCCUUGAGCCCCAAGGCAAGGUCCCCUCCCUCCCACCUAUAUAUACGGAGGUUUUAGGGCUGAUUUGAGACGACUUUGCCACGGCAGCCUGACCACAUACCUCCACGGNNNNNNNNNNNNNNNNNNNNNNNNNNNNNNNNNNNNNNNNNNNNNNNNNNNNNNNNNNNNNNNNNNNNNNNNNNNNNNNNNNNNNNNNNNNNNNNNNNNNCUCUCUUGUUGGAAUUCCAACUACAUCCAUUGUUUUAUUUCUUUGCAAGUUGUUGUAAAAGAAAUAAAAAAAAACAAGCAAGUGAGGGAGAGAGAGUAGCCAGCCGGCCACUUGGGCCUCCAGCCGGCCCAAGUCUCGUGCGCCCCGCUAGCCCUAGCGUUCUCCCUCUGCCCGAUCCCCAUCUCCUCUCUCGUCCCUCUCCUCCCGACGCCCCGAUCCCAUCUUCCUCCUCCCACGUCGGGCACCCAGCGCCUCCUCCCCCGUCUCGAUCUCUCCUCUCGAUCCCCUCCUUGGGACCCCCUAGACCGAUUCCCCGUCUCCCCUCUUUGUUCCCCUCGCUCGCGCCCAGGGUGGAGCUCCCCUGCCCGAGCCGGUCGUCGUUCCCGCCAUGGCGACCUCGCCCCGAGCUCGUCGCCCCGCCGGCCGUUCUCCUCGACUCGCUGCACGCCCCCUGCCGGUGCAGUGCCCUUCGCGCCCAGGCUCCACGCCGGGCCCGAGGUAGCCCCUGUCGAAGCUCUCCAGCGCGACCCCCUCCUCCUAUCGCCCCCGAGGCCUCAUCCUCCCCCUUCGCGACAUGGCGCCGUCGCCGCCUGGCUCCUCCAGCCGGGCCGCCCUAGCCCCUCGUCGGAGGUUUGCCUCGCCCUGCAGAGCCGCCGCGCCGACCGUUAGUCGCUGUUGUGUUGCUUGUUGCUGCUUGCUGCUGCCGCUAUGCUGCUUGUUGUUGCUUGCUGCUUGUUGCCGCCGCUGUUGAUGCUUGUUGUCGCUGAUGCUGUUGUUGAUGCUUGCCAUGCCUGCUAUUGUAGCUACUGGGUUGCUUGCUGCUUGCGUUGCCUGCUGCCGCCGAUGUUGCUUGUUGUUGUUGCUAUGCCGCCGAUGCUGCUUGAUGUUGCUUGCUGCCGCCGAUGUUGCUUGUUGUUGUUGCUAUGCCGCCGAUGCUGCUUGAUGUUGCUUGCUGCCUGCUGCCGCCGAUGCUGCUUGUUGUUGUUGCUUGCUGUAGCUGUUGCGUUGCUAGCUGCUGUCGCUGAUGCUUGCUGUUGCUGUGCCUGCUAGCUGUUGUCGCUGAUGUUGCUGCUGCCGCUUGCUGCCUGUUCCUGUUGCGUUGGAGCCCUGCUUGCAGAAACCACCGCUGCGGCUUGCUGCUUUUGUCGCUAGCUGUUGUUGUUCGAUGCUGAAGGUUUGCAUUUGGCCUUUGGUCAGGUCGCCCGAUAAUUCGCUGCUGAUUCGAGGCCUUUUGUGUUGCUUCGAUUUGGACACUUCACCUCUCAACGCAAGACCNNNNNNNNNNNNNNNNNNNNNNNNNNNNNNNNNNNNNNNNNNNNNNNNNNNNNNNNNNNNNNNNNNNNNNNNNNNNNNNNNNNNNNNNNNNNNNNNNNNNCAUGUAGUUGUCAGUUGUCUUCACAUCCACAUGAGCUUCAAUGAGGGUCUGCUAAGCCUCCGAGUGUAUCUCGAGUAUACACUCGGAGGAAGCUUUUUACUUAGGCGACUCUGAGUCGCAGCUAAGUCCCCAAGUGUGACUUUUCGUGCAUGCUCAGAGUGAGUUCGUAUUUAGGCGAUUCUGGGUCGCAGCUAAGUCCCCGAGUGUGACUUUUAGUGCGCACUCGGAGCGAGUUGUUANGACUCUGGGUCGCGGCUAAGUCCCCGAGUGCGACUGUUAGUGCGCACUCGGAGCGAGUUUGUACUUAGGCGACUCUGGGUCGCAGCUAAGUCCCCGAGUGCAACUUUUAGUGCACACUAGUUUUUUAGACAGGAGUCUGCAAAUGCGGAAGAAUUUUGAAUCGGCAAGAAAUCAAUCUGCUUUGUAUUACUUCAAUGAUACUUGCUCUUUACAUUGUCUCCGUCGGCAGUUAUGUGUAGAAGCGCUUCGGUAGAUCUCCAUUCCAUGCUCGCGGCUCGUCCGUUUCCCUGUCGAGGUUGUAGAGUCGAUAUGCUCCGUUGUUCAGCACCUUAGAGAUGAUGAACGGUCCUUCCUAGGCGGGAGCCAACUUGUGUGGUCUCUGCUGAUCCACUCGGAGCACCAGGUCGCCUGCUUGGAAUGUGCGGCUCCUGACGUGCCGCGCGUGGAAUCGCCGCAGAUCUUGUUGACAAAUUGUUGAACGGAUCAGCGCCAUCUCGCGCUCUUCUUCUAGAAGAUCCACUCCGUCUUGCCUGGCUUGCUCUGCUUCGACUUUGGAGAAGAGUUCGACUCGUGGAGAGUUGUGAAGCAAGUCACUUGGAAGGACUGCCUCUGCUCCAUAAACGAGGAAGAACGGGGAUCGCCCUGUCGAUCUAUUCGGAGUUGUGCGGAGGCCCCACAGCACCGAAGGCAGCUCGGUGACCCAUGCGCCGGCGGCAUGUCCAACUUCUCGCAGGAGUCGAGGCUUCAACCCUUGAAGAAUAAGUCCAUUCGCCCGCUCUGCUUGCCUGUUUGUUUGGGGGUGCGAUACGGAUGCAAAAUCCACUCGGAUACCUUGGCCUGUGCAAAAACCUUUGAACCUGUCCGAGUCAAAGUUUGUGCCAUUUUCGGUGAUUAUGCUGUGCGGAACACCGUAUCUGGCGAUGAUGUCUCUGGUAAAUUUGAUGGUCGUAAGGGCAUCAAGCUUCUUGAUGGGCUUGGCUUCAAUCCACUUGGUAAACUUGUCGACUGCUACUAGCAGAUGAGUGAAUCCUCCUUGGCCUGUUCUGAAUGGUCCGACUGUAUCCAAUCCCCACACGGCGAAUGGCCAAGCAAGAGGAAUUGUCUUCAGCGCAGACGUUGGCUUGUGGGACUUGUUUGAAUAGAACUGACAACCUUCGCAACGGUCGACCAUAUCUUUUGCCAUUUCAUUGGCCUGCAACCAGAAAAAACCAGCUCUGAAUGCUUUGGCGACGAUUGCCCUUGAGGAUUCAUGAUGUCCGCAAGUUCUCGAGUGGAUUUCCUCCAAGAUUAACUGCCCCUCCUCAGGAGAGAUACACCGCUGAAGAACGCCUGACACACUUUUCCUGUAUAACUGGUCAUCAAUGACGGUGAAGGACUUCGACCUGCGAACGAUCUGCCUAGCUUGGACUUCGUCUUCUGGUAACUCUUGCCUCAUGAUGUAUGCAAUGAACGGCACAGUCCAUUCGGGAAUGACAGCUAGAAUCUCCAUGAUCAAAUCAACCACAGCAGGGACCUCGACUUCAGUCUGAUCUGUUGAGCUCUUCGGUUGUACCGGUUCCUCUGUAAAAGGGUCUUCUUUUACCAAGGGAAGGUGUAGGUGCUCGAGGCACACAUCACUCGGGACCGGUCUCCGAGUGGAUCCAAGUUUUGCCAAUUCAUCUGUUGCUUGGUUUUUCAGUCGGGGAACAUGGUGAAGUUCCAGACCUUCGAACUUCUUCUCGAGCUUCCUUACUGCGUUGCAGUAUGCAGUCAUGGUGGGGUUCCUUACAUCCCACUCCUUCAUUACUUGAUUAACCACCAGAUCUGAGUCGACAUAGACCAUCAGGCGACGGACGCCGAGUGUGAUGGCCAUGCGCAACCCGUAAAGGAGAGCUUCGUACUCUGCUUCGUUGUUGGAAGAAUCAAAAUGUAUCUGCAACACAUACUUGAGUUUAUCACCUUUUGGGGAUAUGAUCACUACGCCGGCGCCGGAGCCAUUCAACAUCUUGGACCCAUCGAAGAACAUGGUCCAAUGAGCCGAGUAUAUGUGAGUCGGUUGUUGUUGUUCUACUCAUUCUGCUAUGAAGUCAGCCAGAGCUUGAGACUUUAUAGCUUUCUUGGCUUCGAACUUGAUGUCGCAGUAUAGCAUCUCCAUUGCCCACUUUGCCACUCGUCCUGAUGCGUCCCGAUUGUGGAGAAUUUCCGACAACUGAGCAUCAGAUAUGACAGACACCGAGUGGUCUUGGAAAUAAUGAGCCACCUUCUUUGCAGUCAUGUAGAUCCCAUAAAUAAGCUUCUGAUAAUGGGGAUACCUCUACUUGGAAGGAGUCAGGACUUCAAAGACAUAAUAUACUGGCCGCUGAACCUUGUACGCUUUGCCUUCUUCUUCACGUUCGACUGUCAGAACGGUGCUGACGACUUGAUUUGUAGCCCCGAUGUACAGAAGAAGGGGUUCUUUACUGAGCGGGACAGUAAGAACCGGCUGGGUGGAAAGCAGGGCUUUGAGGUCGUCGAAUGCAAUUUGGGCUUCGUCUGUCCACUCGAAGGUAUCUGACUUCUUCAUGGGCCGAGUCGAGCGAUAAACCUGCUUAAAGCCGCUAGGCAACCUGUGAGCCUUUGAACAUCAUGUAUUCUUACCGGCCGCUCCAUUCGGACGAUGGUCCCGUUCUUUUCGGGGUUGACAUCGAUCCCUCGUUCGGAAACAAAGAAACUGAGUAACUUCCCGCUGGGAACGCCGAAUGAGCACUUGGCUGGGUUGAGCUUGAUAUCGUACCUAUGUAGGUUGGCGAAUGUUUCUGCCAAGUCAGUCAGCAGGUCGGAACCUUUGCGUGACUUGACUACGAUAUCGUCCAUAUAUGCCUCCACAUUUCGACCGAUUUGGUCAAGGAGGCAUUUUUUGAUCAUGCGCAUAAAAGUUGCUCCUACAUUCUUCAAACCGAAUGGCAUAGUGAUGUAACAGAAACACCCGAAUGGGGUGAUGAAGGCUGUUUUUAAUUCAUCCAGACCAUACAAACGGAUCUGAUGAUAGCCCGAAUAGGCAUCAAGGAAGGAUAAACGCUCGCAACCCGCAGUCGAAUCAACAAUUUGAUCAAUGCGGGGGAGCGGGAAGUGAUCUUUCGGACAGACCUUAUUGAGAUGCUUGAAAUCGAUGCACAUACGAAGAGACUUGUCCUUCUUAGGCACCAUGAAAACAUUAGCGAGCCACUCGGAGUGGUGUACCUCGCGAAUGAAGUUGGCUGCCAAAAGUUUAGCCACCUCCUGUCUGAUUGCCUUCCUCUUGUGCGCGGCGGACCGACAUAGGCGUUCUCGAACGGGCCGAGCAGCAGGAUCUACAUGCAGUCGGUGCUCACCCAACUCCCUGGGUACACCUGUCAUGUCAGCAGGCUUCCAUGCAAAAAUGUCCUAGUUGUCACGGAGGAAUUGGAUGAGCUCGGCUUCCUAUUUUGGAUCAAGGGUGGUGGAGAUGUUUGUCGGAGCAGCAGUGUCGUCCGUCAGGUGGAUGUUGACUUUCUUCGUGUCUCCCGCCGACUGGAAUGCGGACUCGGAAGCUGGCUUCUUUGAACGCAUCAUGUCAGCGGGGUCGGCGGUCUUCUUGUACUCAUCCAGCUCGAGAAUAGCCAUCUGCUGAUCGGCAAUCCUCAACCCCUACUGCAGACACUCCUCGGCCCGCUGCCGAUUGCCUGUGACCGUAAUCACACCUUUGGGGCCUGGCAUCUUGAGCUUCAAAUAGACGUAACAUGGACGGGCCAUGAAACGCGCAUAUGCCGGGUGGCCCAGAAUCGCAUGGUAUGCACUCUGGAAGUCCACCACCUCGAAUGUCAGCUUCUCCUUGCGGAAGUUCUUGUCAGAGCCGAAGACGACAUCCAACGCGAUCUGGCUGAGUGAUUUGGCCUUUCUUCCUGGGACGACUCCAUGGAACUGCAUACUGCUCUCGCUAAGUUUGCACAUCAGAAUGUCCAUUCCCUUGAGAGUAUCAGCGUACAUGAUGUUCAAGCCGCUGCCGCCGUCCAUGAGGACUUUGCGCAGCCUGACUCCUUCCACCACCGGGUCGACGACCAGAGCUUGCCUCCCUGGGGUGGGUACGUGUGCUGGGUGGUCUGACUGAUCAAAGGUGAUCGCAGUCUGUGACCACUUGAGGAAUGUGGGAGUGGAUGGGGUCGCCAUGUUCACCUCCCUAUUGACCAGCUUCAGCCGACUUUUGCUUUCCACAUCAGCAAAAAUCAUCAACGUUGCAUGGACUUGGGGGAACGGAUCCUCCUCUUCGCCAUCCUGCUCGGUGUCCUUCUCACUCGGCUGUCCGUCGCCGAAUCCUUGGAUCAGGAGGCGACACUGCCGAGUGGUAUGCUUCGGCAAUAUGACAUUGCCUUCUUCAUCCAUCUUCGUGUGGAUUGGACACGGUUGAUCUAGGAUGAAGUUUCCUGACUGCCUCUUCUUGGGGGUGUACUGAGCUUUCCCCUUGCCUUUGAACUUGGCAUUCGUAACGGCUGCUGCCUCUGCCUGCGGAGUGGAUUGAGCUUUCUGCUUCUGCUUCCGAUUGUUGUUCCCAUCUCCAUCGGCGACUGACUUAUGCUUGCCGCUACGUAUGCGGUCCUCUUCUUCGCCAUUUGCAUAGCGUGCAGCUAUCUCCAUCAUCUUGCUCAUGAAGAUGUCGCCCGUCCGACCGAACUUCAGGUACAGAUCUCUGUACCGCACACGUGCCUUGAAGGUGCAGACUGCUUGAUGCUCUCUGACGUUCUCCACCAUGUGGCAGAGGGUCGUCCAGCGCUGGAUGAAAUCGCGCAAGGGCUCGUUCUGCUUCUGGACACAGUGCUGGAGCUCUACGAGACCAGCAGGGUGUUUGCACGUACCCUCGAAGGUCCUGAUGAAGACUCGGGACAGAUCUGCCCAGCUGUAGAUGCUUGACGGAGCCAAUUGGUUUAGCCAAGCUCGCGUCGAGCCAUCGAGCAUCAGGGGGAGAUGUUUCAUGGUGACGUGGUCAUCUCCGCCACCAAUCUGGACCGCCACUCUGUAGUCGUCCAACCAAGUUUCUGGCUUGGACUCUCGUGUGAACUUGCUGAUUCCCGUCGCCAAUCGGAAGUUGGGAGGGAUGUCAGCUGAGCGGAUGGCCCGACUGAAGCACUCGGGGCCAGAAACAACGGUCCUGCUUCCACUCGGACGGUCUCUGUCAUGACCAUCACGGUGGGCUCGACUUCUGUCGACCUUCUUCUGGGUGAUGUACCCUCUUGCAUCAGGCCUUGGAUCAUGCGCGUCACCGACAGAACGACGAUCAUCGUGAUGUCGGGGCCCGUAAGGCCCACCCCGCGGAGGAGUACACGAACGGCGACGAUCUUCGGGAUGAGACCGAAUGGGAAGCGGAUUCCGACUCGGGUCCCUAGAACGGCUGCCCCCUCUGCGUCGCUGGUGAGAGUCGGGACUGAAAACCGACCGAUGCGUGUUCGUAUGAAUAGAACUAUUGUGGAUCCUGUUGUGCGACUGGGAGACCGCCGAAUUUUGCUGCUGCGCCAUAUGCAACAGGGCACGGAUCUGCUCGAUCCCUCUACCAGCCUCUGGAUCAGUCCGCUGGAGAGAAUCGGUUAUCCUGGCAGCCGCAGCCAGGUUGAGGAUGGGUGUGCGGAACACCUCGACGUUGCUCUGGCGAGUGUGUCGACUGGCAGAACGAUGGUGUUGACGACGAGCGCCGGAUGAUUCUCCGACCUCAUGCUCGUUCCGACCAGUCUGGAGGAGACUUUCAUGGGAAUUGGCCAUGAGAACUUCGGCUGCAGGCCCGCGGCCUGGAUACUCGGAAGGUAGCUCAGUCGGAACUGACUCCAAGCACUGGGAUGGCGGCGGGACCACAACCGAUUCGAGCACCGCCACUUGAGAUGACGCGCUCUGUCGCGCCUGGGCGUGUCGCACCCAACGCGGGAGCCGCGGACGACGGGAUCGCCUGUUGCGGCGCGUGACGGGGCGAAGAUCGACACCGGGGUCGAUGGCUGGAGAAGAAGAACACCGCGGGAACUGGCACGGAAGUGCGUAGCCCCGCGACUGGGAAGCGCCUCGACGUCGAGGGGCGCAUCCCGAAGCCAUGCCGAAUCGUCGGUGAUGAAGGAGAGGGCACCGAAGAGGAUCUGAUGACCCAUGCACAGAUCUCCACCGGACGACAUGAUGAAAGUAUGAAAUCGCAAACUCGCCGGAAGUCGCUUAGACGCCUGCCCCACGGUGGGCGCCAACUGUCGUGGGUAUAAGUCUGACAGUAGAUGUAUGGGGUACGAAAGGAUGGGCAGAGCCUUAGCUACGGCGAGGAUGCAUGAGUUCAGGCCCCUCUAUGGUGGAGGUAAAAGCCCUACGUCUCAGUGCUCUUGGGAGCUUUAGUGUCGAGUGGAUUAUAGGAUUACAGCAAGUGCCAACCCUUGCACCAGUAGGGAAGGGCGGCUUAUAUAGAGUGUGUUGUCCUUCAUAAUGGCCCGGUGGACAGGGGUGUAAUAGUGACGAAUAAAUGCCUACGUUACAGGUAACGUAAGCCUUAAAUGCUAAUGAUGGUGUAUGAAAACGUAUGACCGUUGCCCUCCUCGGAGGUUACGAUGUACAGAGUGGAUUCCAGUCGGUACGUUAAAUAUGCUCCGAGUGGAUCGUCGCCAACUGGAUGAUGGGGGCGUCCUUAGUUCAGUCGGAACUGUCUAAGUGCCUUGUCUUGUAUGAAGGGUAGUCCUUGGGUAGGACCUAUAGGGCAGGCCUAUGAUCCUACCCUGGGACUAUAACCCCAUCAAUAUAUAUCCGUAUGUAGUCUCCUAGUGAAAUCUUUAAAAAGACUUAUAUUUAGAAACGAAGGGAGUAUCAUUUAAUUAGCUGUGCACAUGAUCCAACAAAGAUAAAGUCGAAGAAUGUUGCACUGGCUUCAGAGUAUGUCUGGUACACGGACACCGUGAAUGAGGUCCGGUGCACACGCCCUACCAUGCAUGAUCGUCCGCUGCAUACGCUAGUUGCAUGAUCUAUUGAACGACCAUACGUGAAGGUCCCCUAUAAACUAUGAAAUGGAGAGGGCUAGGGUGAGCUUAAUUAUCAUUUCUAUUAAUAUAAAAGCAUAGCCUCUGUUUGUUACAAUUACAAUUACGCUUAAGUUUGAUCAUCAUUCACCAGAACUGUCCCUUUCAGAUUAGAAACUGGUUCAACCAAGGAUUAUGGGAUUGUAUUUAUUUUAAGUGAAAACAGUUUCAUUUUUGCAAUGACAAGCAAAUUACCGUGCAAUUUAGAACCAGUAUGGAUGAGUAAUUCAAGGAAAAUGGUUUGUAUCAGUAACUCAGUAAUGUGAUUGUUAACAUGUCUAAAUGAUCUAACAAUUGCAAGCACCUUCAUUUGACUUUUCUACUCUUCUGCGCAUCAGCUUGAACAUCGAUGCCUUAAUCGAACCCGCGAUCAAACCACCAAGGCAAAGAGGAGGCAUUGUCUAAGAAAGUGGCCUAUCACCGGAGGAAAACCACGCUUUGUCAGCUCCAAAAGGCCAAAGAAUGCCAUGACGCCAUUUGUCUCCGGCUAGGGAGAAGGUCCUCUGCCCUCUCGCUCUAGUUGAGCCUGUACCAUCCGNN